rnacentral:SRP_RNA from 1 species
CGGUGCCCUGUACCUGCAACCCGCUACAGCAGGGUCGAAUUCCUGAGCCGAGGGUCUAUCUUGUGAGGUCCGGCUGGAAAAAGUGGCGUUGAAGUUCGGGUCCUUCGCAAUGAGAACCUUUGAACCGUGUCAGGUCCGGAAGGAAGCAGCACUAAGAAGUAAAUCUCAUGUGACGAAGGGAAGCCUGGAUGGAGCAAACUAUUCCAGUAACGCUCGGAAGGUAUUCUCGAGGCCAGGUGCACGG